UCCGGUUUGUCACCGGCAGUCUCCUUAGAGUUCCCACCAUUACGUGCUGGCAACUAAGGACAAGGGUUGCGCUCGUUGCGGGACUUAACCCAACAUCUCACGACACGAGCUGACGACAGCCAUGCAGCACCUGUGUUCCGAUUCCCGAAGGCACUCCCGCAUCUCUGUGAGGUUCCGUACAUGUCAAGGGUAGGUAAGGUUUUUCGCGUUGCGUCGAAUUAAACCACAUGCUCCACCGCUUGUGCGGGCCCCCGUCAAUUCCUUUGAGUUUCAGCCUUGCGGCCGUACUCCCCAGGCGGGGUACUUCCUGCGUUAGCGCCGGCACCCAAGGGGUCGCUCCCCCAGGCACCUAGUACCCAUCGUUUACGGCGUGGACUAC
rnacentral:misc_RNA from 1 species